GAUGAACGCUGGCGGCGUGCUUAACACAUGCAAGUCGAACGGGACUAUUUUCAAACGAAGCUUCGGCCGAGGGAGGAUUUAGUCUAGUGGCGGACGGGUGAGUAACGCGCGAGCAACCUGCCCUUCAGUGGGGGACAACAGGUGGAAACGGCUGCUAAUACCGCAUAUUGCACAUGGGUCGCAUGGCACAGUGUGAAAAACUCCGGUGGUGUAGGAUGGACCCGCGUCCGAUUAGCUAGUUGGUGAGGUAAGAGCUCACCAAGGCGACGAUCGGUAGCCGGCCUGAGAGGGCGGACGGCCACAUUGGGACUGAGACACGGCCCAGACUCCUGCGGGAGGCAGCAGUGGGGGAUAUUGCACAAUGGGGGAAACCCUGAUGCAGCGACGCCGCGUGAGUGAAGAAGUAUUUCGGUAUGUAAAGCUCUAUCAGCAGGGAAGAAAAUGACGGUACCUGACUAAGAAGCCCCGGCUAACUACGUGCCAGCCGCCGCCGUAAGAC
rnacentral:rRNA from 1 species